rnacentral:rRNA from 1 species
CAGUAGCCAGGUAAUACGAAGGGGGCUAGCGUUGUUCGGAUUUACCGGGCGUAAAGGGCGCGUAGGCGGACUGAUAAGUCAGGGGUGAAAUCCCAAGGCUCAACCUUGGAACUGCCUUUGAUACUGUUUGUCUUGAGUUCGAGAGAGGUAAGUGGAACUGCGAGUGUAGAGGUGAAAUUCGUAGAUAUUCGCAAGAACACCAGUGGCGAAGGCGGCUUACUGGCUCGAAACUGACGCUGAGGCGCGAAAGCGUGGGGAGCAAACAGGAUUAGAUACCCCAGUAGUCCCUGUCUCUUAUACA